rnacentral:sRNA from 1 species
GGAUGUGAGGGUGAUCUGGCUGCAACAUCUGUCACCCCAUUGAUCACCAGGGUUGAUUCAGCCAGUCUGGCUGGCAAGGUGAGUGUCCCCUUCCUCCCUCACAGCCGCAUGUGCUUCCCUCCCUCCUGAAGCUGCGCGCUCAGUCAAAGAGAACGACCACUCCCCAUAGAGGAGGACCGCUCCUCAGUCAAGGGUAUAUGAGUAGCUGUGCUCCCCUGCUGGAACCUUUAAACAAGCUCUCUAGAAAAAUUGUCUUACAUCUUGCACCAUAUAUGAGAAGAAAUUCCAUGUAGUUUGAAGAUAUCAACUAAGAAG